CAAAUCGUACCCCAAACCGACACAGGUGGUCAGGUAGAGAAUACCAAGGCGCUUGAGAGAACUCGGGUGAAGGAACUAGGCAAAAUGGUGCCGUAACUUCGGGAGAAGGCACGCUGACACGUAGGUGAAGUGAUUUACUCAUGGAGCUGAAGUCAGUCGAAGAUACCAGCUGGCUGCAACUGUUUAUUAAAAACACAGCACUGUGCAAACACGAAAGUGGACGUAUACGGUGUGACGCCUGCCCGGUGCCGGAAGGUUAAUUGAUGGGGUCAGCGCAAGCGAAGCUCCUGAUCGAAGCCCCGGUAAACGGCGGCCGUAACUAUAACGGUCCUAAGGUAGCGAAAUUCCUUGUCGGGUAAGUUCCGACCUGCACGAAUGGCGUAAUGAUGGCCAGGCUGUCUCCACCCGAGACUCAGUGAAAUUGAACUCGCUGUGAAGAUGCAGUGUACCCGCGGCAAGACGGAAAGACCCCGUGAACCUUUACUAUAGCUUGACACUGAACAUUGAGCCUUGAUGUGUAGGAUAGGUGGGAGGCUUUGAAGUGUGGACGCCAGUCUGCAUGGAGCCGGCCUUGAAAUACCACCCUUUAAUGUUUGAUGUUCUAACGUGGACCCGUGAUCCGGGUUGCGGACAGUGUCUGGUGGGUAGUUUGACUGGGGCGGUCUCCUCCUAAAGAGUAACGGAGGAGCACGAAGGUUGGCUAAUCCUGGUCGGACAUCAGGAGGUUAGUGCAAUGGCAUAAGCCAGCUUGACUGCGAGCGUGACGGCGCGAGCAGGUGCGAAAGCAGGUCAUAGUGAUCCGGUGGUUCUGAAUGGAAGGGCCAUCGCUCAACGGAUAAAAGGUACUCCGGGGAUAACAGGCUGAUACCGCCCAAGAGUUCAUAUCGACGGCGGUGUUUGGCACCUCGAUGUCGGCUCAUCACAUCCUGGGGCUGAAGUAGGUCCCAAGGGUAUGGCUGUUCGCCAUUUAAAGUGGUACGCGAGCUGGGUUUAGAACGUCGUGAGACAGUUCGGUCCCUAUCUGCCGUGGGCGCUGGAGAACUGAGGGGGGCUGCUCCUAGUACGAGAGGACCGGAGUGGACGCAUCACUGGUGUUCGGGUUGUCAUGCCAAUGGCACUGCCCGGUAGCUAAAUGCGGAAGAGAUAAGUGCUGAAAGCAUCUAAGCACGAAACUUGCCCCGAGAUGAGUUCUCCCUGAGACUUUAGGUCUCCUGAAGGAACGUUGAAGACGACGACGUUGAUAGGCCGGGUGUGUAAGCGCAGCGAUGCGUUGAGCUAACCGGUACUAAUGAACCGUGAGGCUUAACCUUACA
rnacentral:rRNA from 1 species